rnacentral:tRNA from 1 species
UAUUGGUUAGCAUAAGGGUAAUGCAUCGGCUUGCAAAGUCGCUGAUAAAGGUUCAAAUCCUUUACUAAACU